GCCCCCACACAAGACCUCCGUGUUCUUUUAGGCUGCAAUAGUAAUUCUGAACGUUCUAGGUCCAGUCCCCCUGGUUUACAGAAUCAACAGGUGCAGCUGCCAUUUCCUGAGAACCUCUUUUACACAGAGACAUCUUACAUCCAUUGCUACCUUUAGUGCCACCUACAGACUAGCAAGCAGUGUCCGUGGAGGAAAAUACCUCUCAAAUGGCCGCGCCAGAUGAAUCCACCUCCCACCUGGCCUACCCUGGCACUUAGCAGGAAACUGAACCCACACCUGUUCCAUGCCUACAGGGUGACCUCUGCGACAACUGAAACACUGCAGCAAAGAGGAGGUUUUGACUUUUGAUUUGGAGGGGAACAGAGCCUGACACCAAUGACUUGUGCCGGUUUCCGGUAUGUCACUACCAGCAUGUCUAGGGGCAGUGGGUUUAGAAAUCUGUGAAGGAAUUCUGGAUCACAGAGUCAGGAUCUUGGGGAAACUUUUACCUCAUUUAUGUAAGGUUUUCUUAGGAUUACUUUCCUGGGGGAACCCUUUCAAACCCUGGGGGCUUAGAGCACCCCGGGAGCCAGCAAAGUCUGAAGGUGAAACUGUCACAUGGGGGAGUUUGAUUGGCCACAGACUGAUAUUUUAGGAGGAAGUGGGCUCAGAAAAUCCUGCAACCCUGGCCUGACAGAAUGUUUGUUAAAGAAAAUGAGAGCAGGCGCUGAUUAUCACUCUGAAUGGCAAGAGGCGCCGCAUGUUUUGUCUGGAGAAAAAAAACCAAUGAUGGUUUCCUAGGUAACAUGCAGAGUGGUUCAGCCUGACUGGAAUCCCACGUGCUUCUGCAAGAAGGCAGUGAUAGGUUCUCCUCUGAACAGGUCACCUUCUGGCCGGACGGGUUAUCCAUGGCACGAGGGAACAAGAGAGCAACGCUGCAGUUGGCAUUCCCUGUUUCCCAAGCCUGGCAUGCCGGUGUGCGGCUGGACCCAUCCAGCAGGAUGUGCUCCUCCGUCUAGCUCACGAAAACCAGCCCCUGCACAGUCAAUUUGGAAAGAAGUGGACAGUGACAUCAUCUACAGCAGAAAUGAAAAUGGAGAAACUGCAGUCUAGAAAGGUAUCUUGUGGUAAAGGACGCUAAGGAGGCUGACGCUUACAUACAACUGUCACAUAACCAGGGGUGGGAAAGGUGGGUGGUCACAAGCAACAGAGUUGUUCUUAGGCAUGCCGAACAGCAGAGGAUGGACCUCUGAAUUUCUAUUCCUGACCAUGCCAGCCCUCUUGGCCCUCUGCCUGCUCCAGUGCCUCCAUGCAACAGAGGCAUGGAUUGCUUUGCAAUCCUACUCUCUGGGUAAGAGCCACUUUCAUUUGUCUGCAUGACGGGCUCCACUCCCGCUCGCCUGUACCUUUCUGCUUCCAGAAGCAUCCUCAGAGAUGGACGUCCUCAACUCCAACAAGCACCUUAGUCCUAAAACCUAGGAAAUGGCCCUUAUCUCAGCUACUCAGGGGGCUGAAGCAGAUGAUUGUUGCUUUGAGUUUGAAGCCAGGCUGGACUGUGGGGUGGCUAAGCCUUAACGGGCCCGAGAGCAGCUGGCUAAGACUGAUACUAAGACCAUGCACAGUAGAGCAAGCCUGGGUCUGCCAGAGGCCUUGAUAACUGUAGCCAAGUUUGACGUGUCAUGGACCUAUGAACAGCAACCACAUCACCUCAGCAGAUGCCAGCUCAGUGGACCCCCCACCCCAGUAGGGUCAGGGGUAUAUAAGGCUUACCCCUUCCUAAAAACAAACUGAGCUUGUCAUUUCAACCUGUUGUUCCCUGUGCCUGUGUCCUUGGUUCCACGCCUACUUUUCCCUCUCCCCCAAGGGACACCUGCUGGACCCUACUACACUGGAAACCAACAAAUAAACAAAUAAAACUCCAGAAGUGAAUACUGAAUGCUUUCCCCAUUGUCUACGGCCCUUCGCUAUCACGUUUAGUCCUCAUCUUAGCUGGGAAAUAAAAUACACUUAAAAACAUUAAUGUAAACUGAUGUGAUGGUGGCUGAGAAGUUUGUGAGUUCGAAGGCCGCCUAAGCCACAGCAUGAGCCGCAUCCCCACCUCCUCUCCCCAAAAAAGAUGGGGCUGGAGAGGCCACAGAGG